UAGUCCACGCCGUAAACGAUGAGUACUAGCUAUUGGAGGUAUUGACUCCUUCGGUGGCGCAGCUAACGCAUUAAGUACUCCGCCUGGGAAGUACGGUCGCAAGACUAAAACUCAAAGGAAUUGACGGGGGCCCGCACAAGCGGUGGAUUAUGUGGUUUAAUUCGAAGCAACGCGCAAAACCUUACCUAGGCUUGAACUCCUGAGAACCCGAAGUAAUUUUUGGGGUGUCCGCAAGGAAAUUCAGUGAGAGGUGCUGCAUGGCUGUCGUCAGCUCGUGUUGUGAAAUGUUGGGUUAAGUCUCGCAACGAGCGCAACCCCUAUUCUUAGUUGCCAGCAUUAAGUUGGGCACUCUAAGGAGACUGCCUGGGAAACCAGGAGGAAGGUGGGGAUGACGUCAAGUCCUCAUGGCCCUUAUGUCUAGGGCUACACACGUAAUACAAUGGCGCGUACAGAGGGAAGCGACCCAGCGAUGGUGAGCAAAUCUCAAAAAGCGACGUCUCAGUCCGGAUUG
rnacentral:rRNA from 1 species